CCUCCAAAAGAGCAGGUUCUACUAAAAUUGGAACAAUACAGAGAAGAUUAGCACGGCCCUCUGCUUAAGGAUGACACACAAGAUCAUGACAUGUUCUACAUUUUU
rnacentral:snRNA from 1 species